rnacentral:misc_RNA from 1 species
GUCAUAUAACAAAAGGCUUUGAAGGUAACAUUGCUCUUAGUGCCUUUGCAGACAUAGCAUGAACCAAUGCUAACUGUCCCAUAAAUUUGUUUUUGAUAAGUAUUUUGGUUCCAUAUACCGCUCAUAGGACUAGAUUUGGACAGUUUCUCUGUGUGCUACACGUUGGAGAAAUUGGAUGUAAUUUUUGGAAUUUUACAAAUGUUCCCCAAGAAGAGCCCAAGAUUCUUGGAUGAAGACACUAGAAUUGUCAUUU